rnacentral:lncRNA from 1 species
ACAACAACCACCACCACCUUAUUACCAACAACAACCACCACCACCAUAUUACCAACAACAACAACCACAACACAUGUCCACCCCCCAACCAAAUCAACAAUACAUACCACAAACUCAAUCCCAAAUACCAUGAAGACUACCAACAACAAACUCAACAUUCCCACCACCAUCAACAGUCCCAACACCUACCACAAUAUCAAUCCCCCUACUUCCA